rnacentral:rRNA from 1 species
CCUACGGGUGGCAGCAGUGGGGAAUAUUGCACAAUGGGGGGAACCCUGAUGCAGCAACGCCGCGUGGGUGAAGAAGUACUUCGGUAUGUAAAGCCCUGUCCGCAGGGAAGAAAAUGACGGUACUUGACCAAGAAGCACCGGCUACUUACGUGCCACCAGCCGCGGUCAUACGUAGGGGGCAAGCGUUAUCAGGAUUUACUGGGGGUAGAGGGAGCGUAGACGGCAAGGCAACUAUGGAGUGAAAACCCGUGGCUCAACCCUGGGACUGCUUUUGAAACUGUGUUGCUUGAGUGCAGGAGGGGUAAGCGGAAUUCCUAGUGUAGCGGUGAAAUGCGUAGAUAUUAGGAGGAACACCAGUGGCGAAGGCGGCUUACUGGACUGUAACUGACGUUGAGGCUCGAAGGCGUGGGGAGCAAACAGGAUUAGAUACCCGUGUAGUC